CUAGUGAUACAUAUAGGUUGUAUGAUAUUAAUUUCAAAAUCUUAUAAUUUUAGAACAUGCACUCCGAAAACAUAGCUCCUUAUCUCUCCUAUUACGAAGUUCGUGAUUUGAUUUUAUGCCACUAAAAACAAUGGCGUCUCAUGUUGUACCUCAGAAUGGAAAAGUAUACAGACUUCUUGCACAAGAUGAUAAUCCUGAGAAUGGAUUAAUAACUAAUGCCUAUUAUAUGAAGGAACCGUCGACGGUAACAGCUGCUUAUCAUGUUGCCUGGGGGAGUAGUAAUAGGAGACAGGAUUCAAAAUAUAUUUCGGCCUGUCUAAACUAUAAUGACGCCUUGAGAUUCUCACAGAAAAAUCAAUUCUUAAAUGGCCACAUUGUAAGCAUUGAUACAGAUCAGUUGAAUGUUCUACAUGUAUAUGAUGCAAAUGUGAGGCAGCGGCUAAAUGCAGAACAAAACGAAGUAAAUCCGGAAACUAUUUCUAAGUUCGACUCAUUUGCCAAAGAAAGAAAUGAAGUGCUAAUAGUUGGUCCUGUUCCAGCCAAUUUUGUGACGAUUAUAACAAAGAGACAAGAUCUUCCUAAUCGCAAUGGAAAUGUACCGCGCCACUAAUUGUAUCGCCUUAUACAUUCACAACACAUUGAAUGAUGAAAACCAGCUGAACUGUUCAACUUAUCCUUUCAUUAAUUGUUUAAAAAAUGUAUUUGUUUUUUACACGGCAUUAAAAUUGAGGUCAUGAUACUUUUAAA